AAAAAAAAAAAAAAGAAAGGGAAGCUCUCCAGAUUCUAACUUUCCUUGUGUGUGUGUGUACAUAUGUAUGUAUAGGAGAGGGAAUGAUAUAGGCAAUCUUAGAAUCUCUACUUAUUUAUUAUUUUUUUGAGGUAUAUUUACCAAUUUUGUUAUGAUUAUUGACUGUUGACUUUGAGCAAACAAAUUGAGAAUUAGUUUCUCUCCAAUUAGAGAAUUUGUUCUCACCCCAAAUCCCCUAAUACCUAUUGGUUUUACAUCAGGGAUGUUCUUCACAUAUGGGAUUGACUAUCCACCCCCAUUAGGUAGACCAAAAAGUGGUUGGUAGCUUUUUUUAAUCAGUAGCUAUAGAUGAAAACUGUUAGGAGCCCAAGCAACUUCAACCAUACGAUACCAUUUAACAUUUGGAUGCUAUAUUCUGGAGAUGUUUGUGGCUAUCCAGAUCAAAUUCAUUUCAGUCACUAUAUGAUCACUUAAAUUUUUGUUUUUUUUCCUAUGUACUUUUGUCUGCCCAUAUUUUUUCAACCACUUCACUUUACUGCUUUAAAAGAAAUAUCGGAUUGAUUUAUUCAGCUGAAUAAGAUUCAUCAGAUUGUCCAAUCAAUAAUUUGUUGUGACAACCAACACAUUUACUGCAUAUUUUUAGUCAUAAUAAUCUAAUUGCCUUUGUUUUAAACAUUAAAAUGAGUAUUGUUUACUUGUUGAAGCAGAAAUUGCUUUUGAGUAAAUCGAUUACUGGAUGUUUGGUCUGAUUGACUUGAGGCACUCAACUAGGCACAGUGAGAAAACACCUCGGUUUCUUUGGACAAAUCAGGCAGGGCACAUUUUGUGGAGCACUUGCUGCUUGUGUUUAGGUUAAUAGAAAGUAUUAAACUUAGGAGACACUUUUGGUAAACUUGUUUUCUUCUAUUAGGAAACUGUUGACCUAGCCACAUUGGUUUUUUUAUUUUUAUUUUUAUUUU
rnacentral:misc_RNA from 1 species